GUGUGUGUUUACGUUAUUAGUGUUAGAGUGUGUUGUGUGAUGUGGGGGGCGGAGGGGUGUGUGGUGGCGUAUGUGCUGGCGUAUAUGCCAACGCACGACCCACCCCACCCCACCCCCUACGGUGCACGGUGCAUACAUCCAACCCUCUCUGAUGAUCCUUCCGCAGGUUCACCUACGGAAA
rnacentral:misc_RNA from 1 species